rnacentral:ncRNA from 10 species
UUCGUUCAUCUAUCUAGACGGAAGUAAAGCUUUUGGCUUGAAGGAACGCGUU